UCCACCUACAUCCACACCUCCUCCUGGUUCCACCUCCAUCACUCUUCCUCCUGUUCUCUCUGUGUUGUCAUGUGUUGGAUCAGUCUGUGUUGUGGUUCUACUGGUGUUACUGGUUCUGCUGGUGAGACGAUGUGUUCACAGAAAACCUGAAGGUGAGACUCAGACUUCCUGAUCUUACAAGAGUUGGUUUGCUGAAUGAUUUAACAAAAAAUGUACUAUUUUUACUUUGUUGGAUUGACAUUCUUUUUCCAUUGAAGUAAUUGCAAGUUGUUGAAAAUUACAAACAUAGAAAUAUGUUCUAAAAUAAUUUCUUCAUGCAAGUAAGAGUAAUGACAGUUGUUAAAUUUCAUUAUUUCAGCUAUACAACAAGAAGCUGCAAAUGAUAAUUUCACAGACAUCACAUAUAGUGACAUCAAAUCAUCACAUCAUCAGCAAAGGGCAAUCAAACACCUCAGAGACAUUGAUACAGCUGUGGUGUACUCAACAGUGAGAACUGAAGAUGUCACUUAUGGACAAAUAGCCAUCAAACCAAAGAAGACCAGAGGAAACAAGCAUGAUACAGGAAACAGCAAAGGCAUCAUUUGAUACUGUGAACUGCACAGCAGAGCUUCAGUGCAGGAUGUGUCUGUUUGAGACUGAAACACUUUAUGUCCUUGGACACUCAGAACCCAACCAGCAGCAGGUGACAUGGUGCAAAUGUUCAUUUUAAUGAAGUGUUUAAUCUUGUAAUCUUCUUCUCAUUUUGUAAUGUAAUGUAAUGUUCUGUAAUGGCAUAGACUCAACCACAGGUCACCUUGCAAUAGCCACAUAUCAGGUGUGGUCAAACCUGUGUCAUGAGUGAGAAACAAGUUUCAAACUGAUUCAGAUUAGGCCCAUUUUGUCUUGGUACUCCCUUUUAUUAGCAAGAUGAAUUUCUAUUUAAUAUGAGGUCGAUUAAAAAAAACCCAAAAAAAACAAAAACAGACUGAAUGUAUCAAAUGUUAUUUUUUGAUAUUUAAUUUUGUCUUCUCUAGAGUCCUGAAUGUAAAACCAAAGCAGCAACUUCACUACAGUGUUUUCUAUUUUGGUUAAUAAUAGCUUUCAUGCUGUGAGAACAUGUUUGCUUUGUGCUUUGUGGUGAAGUGCAUCAGUUUGUAGAAACGGAAAAUAAAAGCUCUGUGGUCGUUCACCUUUU